GGACGGGUGAGUAACACGUGGGAACGUGCCUUUUGGUUCGGAACAACUCAGGGAAACUUGAGCUAAUACCGGAUAAGCCUUUCGAGGGAAAGAUUUAUCGCCAUUAGAGCGGCCCGCGUAGGAUUAGCUAGUUGGUGGGGUAAAGGCCCACCAAGGCUACGAUCCUUAGCUGGUCUGAGAGGAUGAUCAGCCACAUUGGGACUGAGACACGGCCCAAACUCCUACGGGAGGCAGCAGCGGGGAAUCUUGCGCAAUGGGCGAAAGCCUGACGCAGCCAUGCCGCGUGAAUGAUGAAGG
rnacentral:rRNA from 1 species